CAAGGGCUCGCGGGGGCUUGUGGGAAAGCGCAGGAAGGCGGCGGCCGGCGUGAGUCGCUGCGGGUCUGGCGCGUCGGCUGUGCAGGCACUAACGGCCUGCCCGGUCAGAGGUGGUUCAAAACUCUGCAGUCAUAAUGACUUCGACAAAUAAAGCAGUUGAAUUACAACUACAAGUGAAACAAAAUGCAGAAGAAUUACAAGACUUUAUGAGGGAUUUAGAAAACUGGGAAAAAGACAUUAAACAAAAGGAUAUGGAACUAAGAAGACAGAAUGGUGUUCCUGUAGAGAAUUUACCUCCUAUUCGAAAA